rnacentral:rRNA from 1 species
AUUGAACGCUGGCGGCAUGCCUAACACAUGCAAGUCGAGCGGAUGAAGGGAGUUUGCUCCUGGAUUCAGCGGCGGACGGGUGAGUAAUGCCUAUGAAUCUGCCUGUUAGUGGGGGAUAACGUCCGGAAACGGGCGCUAAUACCGCAUACGUCCUGAGGGAGAAAGUGGGGGAUCUUCGGACCUCACGCUAUCAGAUGAGCCUAGGUCGGAUUAGCUAGUUGGUGGGGUAAAGGCCUACCAAGGCGACGAUCCGUAACUGGUCUGAGAGGAUGAUCAGUCACACUGGAACUGAGACACGGUCCAGACUCCUACGGGAGGCAGCAGUGGGGAAUAUUGGACAAUGGGCGAAAGCCUGAUCCAGCCAUGCCGCGUGUGUGAAGAAGGUCUUCGGAUUGUAAAGCACUUUAAGUUGGGAGGAAGGGCAGUAAGUUAAUACCUUGCUGUUUUGACGUUACCAACAGAAUAAGCACCGGCUAACUUCGUG